rnacentral:misc_RNA from 1 species
AGGAUUUUCUUGAGGGCUUCAAUUGCCUCUUCGUACGAAUUCUUUCCCAUUUCUUCUCUCUGCCAAUUCCUCAUCAAAAACACUUCUCAGGUUUCACAAAUUUUGUAUCAUUUAUAUAUCACCAUAAAUAAAGUUUAAUUCUUUACCUUGUUGCAAUCAAGCAUAGAGGCAUAAAAGAAAGGAAUGAGAGAUACUUAUUAUCACUUCUAAAUUCUUUAACUAUGACGAGGAAAAUAAAGAAUUAAUUAAUAAAAUAUGGGUUUAAUUAUAUUAAACCUGAUUUGCCUAAAAUAACAUAUUUUAACCGGGCUUAAUGAUUCUUGUUAGAAUCUUUGCUUCCAUAUUCGGCCAUGCAAAUUUCCUUCGGUUUUAUAUUAAAGUUGAUUCUAUGCAACUGUUGUGUAUAAAAUAGAUAAAUUUUAACGAUUGAUUAUAAUGGAAUUUAUAAGAGAUACCCAUGUUAAUAAUUAUAAUAAAAUCAUUUUAUAGAAUUACAAAUUUCAAAUUUAAAUCUCAAUUGAAACUUUAAUUCAAAUCCUAAUCUAAGCUGAUUAUAAAAAAAUAAUAAUAAUAAUAAUAAACUACAAAACCCGACCCAAUAUUGCAACCACAUAUUUAUUAUUAUUAUUAUCAUGAUACAACAAAUUUAACAUAUGAAAAUAACUUGUCUCUGAUUUAUCACCUGAAAUCACCUCAGCCAAAACUUUAAGUUCUGCAGGCAGGAAGCCUUUGAUGAUCAUGCUGCUACUUCAUUAAGUUUCCCUCUCAAAGAGGUCCAUCGGGCAUCCAUGCACAGACAAGAACCGGCUCUGCUAAGUUGCAUAUUCUGCACUUUAUAGGGAAAAAAGAACACAAGCAAACACACUGACUGGAAGCAUUGGACCCGUUAAAGCAGAAUCUCUGAUGAUAUUUACAAGGUGAAAAUGAGAAACCAUGAGUUGAUUGAACUAUGACCCGUCUUAAGAAACUUUCUCAACGCAUUCUACAGAACACCCCUCCCAAAAUUCUCUUGAUCGAGUUGAUAUCUUAACCCCCCAAGUUGGCUCUUGGACACAGCCUCGGCAAUGAGCCUUCCUGUCUCAAUAGCCUCCGUUUGCCCAUCUUGAACCGCCAAACAAUCCCUCGGUGUCUCAAACAAGGAAAGCGAGAACUGCUUAGACACUACACCAACAUCGAAAUAAAUAAGGCCCGAACUGGGCACAUCUACCCGAAUUCCCUUGACCGGAAACCACAAAAACAACUCUUGAGCAGAAAUUCCAGACAAAGCCCCGAUCUGGCCGUAGCUCAGAGUCCCAGAAACAUUCCUAUCGUAAUGCAAUUCGCUCUCGAACUUAGCGUUGCAAGCCUGAUCCAAGUGGACCAAGAAAUGGCCCGUACCAUUGAUUGUGAAAUCUUUAACGCCCUUAGGGAAUAGGCCCAUGGGCAGCCCAUGGUCCUUAAGAACAUCGUAGACUGAUGAAUCCUCCUCCCAUGGAUUGAC